rnacentral:lncRNA from 1 species
AGGGUUUUCUCUAUUUCUUUCAUUCCAUUUCCUUUUUCCUUACCUCCAUCUUGAGGUGGUGUACAUAUCUUGUUUGUGCGUGAACUUUUUACUUCUCCAUUUGUUGUAGUGACUCGGUGGUGAGAGUCUCGUUCAUUGCUUGUUCCUUCAUAAUAUCUCCUUAGUUUACUAGGGAAAUUGAAAAUCUCAUGCCGCGAUUCAUUUACGAACUUCUUUACGCAUUUCUCAUUAUUCAUUUAUAAAUGACUUAAAUAAGCAUUUUAAACUCCAUUAAAAAGGAAUUGAUUUAAAACAUUUUAAUCCUUUUAAAAUCCAUACUCAUAAAGCCUUAACUCAUGCUCUAUCUCAUAUUCUAUCUCUUUACUCAUCUCUAUAUAAACUCUCCACUCAUCUCAAAUCCUUAAGUUCAAGGAUAGGUUUCAAGAAAAUCAUGGUACUAAGUCUCGAUUUAUCU